rnacentral:rRNA from 1 species
CCAACAUCAUAAAAAAAGAUCCAAAUGAAAGGGAUCAUGUGGAAUUGUAGGGGGGUAGGCAAGAAGGGAAUGGCCACCUGCCUCUCUGAUAUGAUUAGUGACCAUUCUGUGGAUUUCCUGGGUCUUCAAGAGACCAUGAAAAAAAACUUUUCUCCUGGCUGUUUGAGGAGAAUUGAUCCUUUUAGUAUCUUUAGUUGGAACUGGAUUCCCUCUGUUGGGAAAUCUGGGGGUAUCCUGUGUGGU